UACGGAGGGUGCAAGCGUUAUCCGGAUUCACUGGGUUUAAAGGGUGCGUAGGCGGUGUGGUAAGUCAGUGGUGAAAUCUCCAAGCUUAACUUGGAAACUGCCGUUGAUACUAUCAUUCUUGAAUAUCGUGGAGGUAAGCGGAAUAUGUCAUGUAGCGGUGAAAUGCUUAGAUAUGACAUAGAACACCGAUUGCGAAGGCAGCUUGCUACACGAUCAUUGACACUGAGGCACGAAAGCGUGGGGAUCAAACAGG
rnacentral:rRNA from 1 species